rnacentral:rRNA from 1 species
UACCAGCACCCCGAGUGGUCGGGACGUUUAUUGGGCCUAAAGCAUCCGUAGCCGGUUCUACAAGUCUUCCGUUAAAUCCAACUGCUUAACAGGUGGGCUGCGGAGGAUACUAUAAGACUAGGAGGCAGGAGAGGCAAGCGGUACUCAGUGGGUAGGGGUAAAAUCCGUUGAUCCAUUGAAGACCACCAGUGGCGAAGGCGGCUUGCCAGAAUGCGCUCGACGGUGAGGGAUGAAAGCUGGGGGAGCAAACCGG